ACACGUGUUCAUUUCAUUCUCUUCCCUUCCUUGCCGUGCAGAGGAGCAAACAGCAUGAACGGUAGCAGCAUGAGUUUAGGUUGGUCAUCUGAACCCCCUGGCUAGAGUAAAGUCUAAUCACUUACUAUAAUGUCUUAAUUACGAUGACUCCCACGUGGUUUAUGCCUUGAGGCCAGAGUCAAACUGUAGUCUAGUCAUCCUCUGACCAUCACCUUGUAACGACUGGCAGAGAAACUGAGGACUGCAGUCAUUUGUUUAGAUUCUAUUGAUGGGUUUACCGUUGGGACAUGUGCAUUCAGUGAUUGGGCUGCCUUGGUGGAUGACUGCCAAUUUAAUCCUUUCAAGUAGUAAAAAGGUAAAGAAAAACUGAGGACUGCAGUCAUUUGUUAAGAUUCUACUGAUGGCCUUACUUCUAGGUGCAUUCAGAUGUUAUUGCUUUUUUCCAUGUUUGGUUACCUUUUAAAAUAAGAGGUGAAUAUUCUAUUAUAAACCAUAUAUAUGUUGUGUAUGUGUAUUGUCUGUUACCAAUAAAAAAAGAGA